rnacentral:rRNA from 1 species
AGAAUCAACGCUGGCGGCGUGCCUAACACAUGCAAGUCGAACGAGAAAGUGGAGCAAUCCAUUAGUAAAGUGGCGCACGGGUGAGUAACACGUGACUAACCUACCCUUGAGUGGGGGAUAACCUAGGGAAACCUGGGCUAAUACCGCAUAAUACCUUCGGGUCAAAGGAGCAAUUCGCUUAAGGAGGGGGUCGCGGCCGAUUAGUUAGUUGGCGGGGUAAUGGCCCACCAAGACGAUGAUCUGUAU